CCCUCCACUUCUCAAGAGCCAAUCGAAUUGUAUACAUCUUCUCAAAUCUCAAUUUUUUUCUCCUCCCCCUCCUCUUUUCCUUAUAACUGAAAAAUCCUCACAAGCAUAUAAAUAUUUUUUAUGAAUGGGAUUAUUUAGUCAUGCAACUUUUUAAGGGCUUGAUUGUCCACCAUUUAAGCGAUUUAGCUCCUUUCGCACAUAUAUUGUUAUAAAUCUGUACCUAUCUCAAUUUUUAAAAUUUUUAGUCAUCCUUUUUCUUUUUAAUACCUUUAAACGAUUCAGCUCCCUUCGCACAUGUAUUGUUAUAAAUCUGUACCUAUCUCAAUUUUUAAAAUUUUUUGUCAUCCCUUCUCUUUUUAAUACCUUUAAAAUUAUA
rnacentral:lncRNA from 1 species